AUUGAACGCUGGCGGCAGGCCUAACACAUGCAAGUCGAACGGUAACAGGAAGCAGCUUGCUGCUUUGCUGACGAGUGGCGGACGGGUGAGUAAUGUCUGGGAAACUGCCUGAUGGAGGGGGAUAACUACUGGAAACGGUGGCUAAUACCGCAUAACGUCGCAAGACCAAAGAGGGGGACCUUCGGGCCUCUUGCCAUCAGAUGUGCCCAGAUGGGAUUAGCUWGUUGGUGAGGUAACGGCUCACCAAGGCGACGAUCCCUAGCUGGUCUGAGAGGAUGACCAGCCACACUGGAACUGAGACACGGUCCAGACUCCUACGGGAGGCAGCAGUGGGGAAUAUUGCACAAUGGGCGCAAGCCUGAUGCAGCCAUGCCGCGUGUAUGAAGAAGGCCUUCGGGUUGUAAAGUACUUUCAGCGGGGAGGAAGGUGUUGUGGUUAAUAACCACAGCAAUUGACGUUACCCGCAGAAGAAGCACCGGCUAACUCCGU
rnacentral:rRNA from 1 species